CAACUACUCCCUCUGUCCCAAAUUUCUUGUCUUAGAUUUGUCUAGAUACGUAUGUAUCUAAUACUAAAAUGUGACUUGAUACAUCCGUAUCUAGACAAAUCUAAGACAAGAAUUUUGGGAUGGAGGGAGUACUUU
rnacentral:pre_miRNA from 1 species